GCUCAAAUUUGAAAUCUGGCCUCGGCCCGAGUUGUAAUUUGCAGAGGAUGCUUUUGGUGCGGUGCCUUCCGAGUUCCCUGGAACGGGACGCCACAGAGGGUGAGAGCCCCGUAUGGUCGGACACCAAUCCUGUGUAAAGCUCCUUCGACGAGUCGAGUAGUUUGGGAAUGCUGCUCUAAAUGGGAGGUAAAUCUCUUCUAAAGCUAAAUACCGGCCAGAGACCGAUAGCGCACAAGUAGAGUGAUCGAAAGAUGAAAAGCACCUUGAAAAGGGGGUUAAACAGUACGUGAAAUUGUUGAAAGGGAAGCACUUGUGACCAGACUUGGGCCGGGCGGCUCAUCAGGGGUUCUCCCCUGUGCAUUCCGCCCGGUACAGGCCAGCAUCGGUUCUUACCGGGGGAUAAGAACGGCAGGAACGUGGCUCCCUCUCGGGGGAGUGUUAUAGCCUGCCGUACGAUACCCUGGCGGGGACCGAGGUUCGCGCUUCCGCAAGGAUGCUGGCGUAAUGGUUACUAGUGACCCGUCUUGAAACACGGACCAAGGAGUCGUCCAUUAGAGCGAGCGUUUGGGUGUAAAACCCGCACGCGUAAUGAAAGUGAAAUUAGGUGAGAGCUUCGGCGCAUCAUCGACCGAUCCUGAUGUUCUCGGAUGGAUUUGAGUAAGAGUUUUAACGGACGGACCCGAAAGACAGUGAACUAUGCUUGUAUAGGGUGAAGCCAGAGGAAACUCUGGUGGAGG
rnacentral:rRNA from 1 species